UCAUUCAAAGCACAGGGAUUUGGGAUUGA
rnacentral:piRNA from 1 species